AGGGAAAAGUUGACUUCAUCAGAGCACGCCCAUUCGACUGAGUGACCUAUCAGCUUGUACUUAGGGUCUUUACCUAGGUAGGCUAUCACGGGUAACGGCGGGUUACCGUCGGACUGCCGGAGAAGGCGCCUGAGAGAUAGCGACUAUAUCCACGGGUAGCAGCAGGCGCGAAACUUUCCCACUCGAGACUUUCGGAGGAGGUAAUGACCAGUUCCAUUGGUGCCUUUUGGUACUGUGGAUAGGGGUACGGUUUUCCACCGUACCGAAACCUAGCAGAGGGCCAGUCUGGUGCCAGCAGCUGCGGUAAUUCCAGCUCUGCGAGUUUGCUCCCAUAUUGUUGCAGUUAAAACGCCCGUAGUCUGAAUUGGCCAGCAAUGGUCGUACGUAUUUUUACGUUCACUGUGAACAAAUCAGGACGCUUAGAGUAUGGCCACAUGAAUGACUCAGCGCAGUAUGAAGUCUUUGUUUUCUUCCGAAAACAAGCUCAAUGAGAGCCAUCGGGGGUAGAUCUAUCUCAUGACGAGUGGUGGAAUACUUUGACUCAUGAGAGAGAAGCUGAGGCGAAGGCGUCUACCUAGAGGGUUUCUGUCGAUCAAGGGCGAGAGUAGGAGUAUCCAACAGGAUUAGAGACCCUGGUAGUUCCUACCUUAAACGAUGCCGACAGGAGUUUGUCAUUUGUUAAUGGCAGAAUCUUUGGAGAAAUCAUAGUUCUUGGGCUCUGGGGGAACUACGACCGCAAGGCUGAAACUUGAAGGAAUUGACGGAAGGGCACACCAGGGGUGGAGCCUGUGGCUUAAUUUGAAUCAACACGGGGAAACUUACCAGGACCAGAUGUUUUUUAUGACUGACAGGCUUCGGGUCUUUCAGGAUAUUGUUUUUGGUGGUGCAUGGCCGUUGGUGGUGCGUGGGUUGACCUGUCUAGCGUUGAUUCAGCUAACGAGCGAGAUUAUCGCCAAUUAUUUACUUUGCCGAAGUCCUUCGGUUAAAGUUCUAAUUGGGACUCCCCUGCGAUUUUAGCAGG
rfam:Trichomonas vaginalis G3, whole genome shotgun sequence.